AACCUCCCAUUAUGUGUUUGGACCCAGCACAAGAGAAGAAGGGGGCAGCAGAAAUGAUCUAAAAUAAGGAUUUGCAGAGGGAUAGAAUAUAACCUAAUCACUGGGGGACAGUUUUCAUUAGGAAAAGCCUGGUAUUGUCAAAGGAAAAAAAAAAGAAGUUAUUGCCUAAUGAAGUGUGAACGACUGUUUUAUAGAAAGAAA